UACGGGGGGAGCAAGCGUUGUUCGGAUUUACUGGGCGUAAAGGGCGCGUAGGCAGCCAGCACAAGUCAGUUGUGAAAUCUCCGAGCUUAACUCGGAAAGGUCAACUGAUACUGUGCGGCUAGAGUGCGGAAGGGGCAACUGGAAUUCUUGGUGUAGCGGUGAAAUGCGUAGAUAUCAAGAGGAACACCUGCGGCGAAGGCGGGUUGCUGGGCCGACACUGACGCUGAGGCGCGAAAGCCAGGGGAGCGAACGGG
rnacentral:rRNA from 1 species